GAUGAACGCUGGCGGCGUGCCUAAUACAUGCAAGUCGAGCGAGCAGACGAGGAGCUUGCUCCUUUGACGUUAGCGGCGGACGAGUGAGUAACAAGUGGGUAACCUACCUAUAUGACUGGGAUAACUUCGGGAAAACGGAGCUAAUACCGCAUAAUAUUUCGAACCGCAUGGUUCGAUAGUGAAAGAUGGCUUUGCUAUCACUUAUAGAUGGACCUGCGCCGUUUUAGCUAGUUGGUAAGUUAACGGCUUACAAAGGCAACGAUACGUAGCCGACCUGAGAGAGUGAGCGGCCACACUGGAACUGAGACACGGUCCAGACUCAUACGGGAGGCAGCAGGAGGGAAUGUUCCGCAAUGGGCGAAAGCCUGACGGAGCAACGCCGCGUGAGUGAUGAAGGUCUUCGGAUCGUAAAACUCUGUUAUUAGGGAAGAACAAACGUGUAAGUAAUUGUGCACGUCUUGACGGUACCUAAUCAGAAAGCCACGGCUAACUACGUG
rnacentral:rRNA from 1 species